GUAACUAUACUGCAGUCGACGCUUCCUACCGGUGCUUGCACCGGGAAAGAAGAGUGGCGGACGGGUGAGUAACACGUGGGUAACCUACCUACAAGCGGGGGAUAACAUUCGGAAACGGAUGCUAAUACCGCAUAGAUCUUUUUGUCUCCUGGCAGAAAGAAGAAAGACGGUUUCGGCUGUCACUUGUAGAUGGACCCGCGGCGCAUUAGUUAGUUGGUGAGGUAAUGGCUCACCAAGACGAUGAUGCGUAGCCGACCUGAGAGGGUGAUCGGCCACACUGGGACUGAGACACGGCCCAGACUCCUACGGGAGGCAGCAGUAGGGAAUCUUCCGCAAUGGACGAAAGUCUGACGGAGCAACGCCGCGUGAGUGAAGAAGGUUUUCGGAUCGUAAAACUCUGUUGUUAGAGAAGAACAAGGAUGAGAGUAACUGCUCGUCCCUUGACGGUAUCUAACCAGAAAGCCAUGGCUAACUACGUGCCAGCAGCCGCGGUAAUACGUAGAUGGCAAGCGUUGUCCGGAUUUAUUGGGCGUAAAGCGAGCGCAGGCGGUUCUUUAAGUCUGAUGUGAAAGCCCCUGGCUCAACCAGGGAGGGUCAUUGGAAACUGGAGAACUUGAGUGCAGAACAGAAAGUGGACUUUCAUGUGUAGCGGUGAAAUGCGUAGAUAUAUGG
rnacentral:rRNA from 1 species